rnacentral:rRNA from 1 species
CACGUAGGGCGCAAGCGUUGUCCGGAUUUAUUGGGCGUAAAGAGCGUGUAGGCGGCCAGGUAGGUCUGCUGUGAAAACUCGAGGCUCAACCUCGAGAUGUCGGCGGAAACCAUCUGGCUAGAGUCCGGAAGAGGAGAGUGGAAUUCCCGGUGUAGCGGUGAAAUGCGCAGAUAUCGGGAAGAACACCCGUGGCGAAGGCGGCUCUCUGGGACGGUACUGACGCUGAGACGCGAAAGCGUGGGGAGCGAACGAGG